GACAGAGGGGGCAAGCGUUGCUCGGAAUCACUGGGCGUAAAGGGCGCGUAGGCGGGAUGGCAGGUCAGUCGUGAAAUCCUUCGGCCCAACCGAAGAACGUCGGCUGAUACUGCCGUUCUUGAGGGAUGCAGAGGAGACCGGAAUUCCCGGUGUAGCGGUGAAAUGUGUAGAGAUCGGGAGGAACACCCGUAGCGAAGGCGGCACUCUGGGCCGAUACUGACACUGAGGAGCGAAAGCGUGGGGAGCGAACAGG
rnacentral:rRNA from 1 species